AGACCUAAGGUGGCAGUAGAGAGACCAUGAUCGCAGAGGUGACUUUUCCAGGAGGAGGCUUAUUCAUUGCAUUCCUAGUGCACUGACAUCUGCAAUUUCUCUAAAUGCAGGAAAUUUUAGCGUAUGAUUUGUGGUAGGGGGAAGAGGGACAAAACGUAAGCAUUAGGUUUUGCUCCCAU
rnacentral:snRNA from 14 species